ensembl:lncRNA
CACAACCCCCCCUUCACUCCGUCUCUCGGCCGCUGGGCGAGUGAGUGAGCGAGGGAGUGCGUAAGAAAGGCAAAGCGGCAGGCGUGUUUCAACAGAUGGCUCUCAGUGUCCCGCUUCAGCCAGUACUCACUCUCUCUGUGCACUUAGAGCUUUCCUGUUAGAGAGAGAGAGAGACAGAGAGAGAGAGAGAGAGAGAGAGCAGUUCAGUUUAAGAAAGUGAAAGGGCUUUGAGAACUUCUCCUUUUUCGUUGUUUGAAAACUUUUCGUCUACUCUCUAGUGAGCAGUAGAGAGAAAAGAUAGAGGGAGAGAGAGGAGGGUGGCGUGAGUGGGACGUUGACCCCCGCUGCUCUUACUCUCUCUUGGCCGGCUGCUCUGGGGGAUCCACUGCUAGUCUCAGGCGGGACAAUAAACCACCUGCUCCAAGUCCGGGGGCUUACACCGCCAACACUGGACCUGCAGCGCUGUGCGUGAGGCCCGAAGCCUCAACACUCUGACGCACAAACGAAUUCCCAUCAGCUGUUGAGGGUGGACCUGAGUGCUUGACAGGUUUGCUGGAGCUGCAUAUAGAACUGAAUGGCUGCACACAGGCUUUAGAGACACCAGUGCUCUUCUGUAUAAGGUAGGACUAUUUCUUUAAUUAUGUUACCACCAUGGGCACGAGACAUCUAUCGCUUUCUGUCUGUCUCUC